GCUGGGUGUGGUGGCCCACAUCUGUAAUCCCAACACUUUGGGAGGCUGAGGCAGGAGGAUUGCUUGAGCCCAGAAGUUCGAGGCUGCAGUGAGUUGAGAUUGCACCACUGCACUGCAGCCUGGGUGACAUAGCAAGACCCUGUCUCAA
ensembl:misc_RNA Metazoa_SRP Metazoan signal recognition particle RNA